GAUGAACGCUGGCGGCGUGCCUAAUACAUGCCAGUCGAGCGAACGGACGAGAAGCUUGCUUCUCUGAUGUUAGCGGCGGACGGGUGAGUAACACGUGGAUGACCUACCUAUAAGACUGGGAUAACUUCGGGAAACCGUAGCUAAUACCGGAUAAUAUUUUGAACCGCAUGGUUCAAGAGUGAAAGACGGUCUUGCUGUCACUUAUAGAUGGAUCCGCGCGGCAUUAGCUAGUUGGUAAGGUAACGGCUUACCAAGGCAACGAUGCAUAGCCGACCUGAGAGGGUGAUCGGCCACACUGGAAGUGAGACACGGUCCAGACUCCUACGGGAGGCAGCAGUAGGGAAUCUUCCGCAAUGGGCGAAAGCCUGACGGAGCAACGCCGCGUGAGUGAUGAAGGUCUUCGGAUCGUAAAACUCUGUUAUUAGGGAAGAACAUAUGUGUAAGUAACUGUGCACAUCUUGACGGUACCUAAUCAGAAAGCCACGGCUAACUACGUG
rnacentral:rRNA from 1 species